rnacentral:rRNA from 1 species
UGGCUCAGAACGAACGCUGGCGGCAGGCUUAACACAUGCAAGUCGAGCGCCCCGCAAGGGGAGCGGCAGACGGGUGAGUAACGCGUGGGAACGUACCCUUUACUACGGAAUAACGCAUGGAAACGUGUGCUAAUACCGUAUGUGCCCUUCGGGGGAAAGAUUUAUCGGUAAAGGAUCGGCCCGCGUUGGAUUAGCUAGUUGGUGGGGUAAAGGCCUACCAAGGCGACGAUCCAUAGCUGGUCUGAGAGGAUGAUCAGCCACAUUGGGACUGAGACACGGCCCAAACUCCUACGGGAGGCAGCAGUGGGGAAUAUUGGACAAUGGGCGCAAGCCUGAUCCAGCCAUGCCGCGUGAGUGAUGAAGGCCCUAGGGUUGUAAAGCUCUUUCACCGGUGAAGAUAAUGACGUAACCGAGA